rnacentral:rRNA from 1 species
UACGAGGGGUCCUAGCGUUGUUCGGAAUCAUUGGGCGUAAAGGGUGUGUAGGUGGCUAUGUAAGUCAGGUGUGAAAGCCCCGGGCUCAACCCGGGAAGUGCAUCUGAGACUGCGUAGCUUGAGUACCGAAGAGGAUAGUGGAAUUCCAGGUGUAGUGGUGAAAUACGUAGAUAUCUGGAGGAACACCGGUGGCGAAGGCGGCUAUCUGGUCGAGUACUGACACUGAGACACGGAAAGCAUGGGGAUCAAACAGG